GAUGUGAAAGCCCACGGCUCAACCGUGGAGGGGUCAUUGGAAACUGGAAGACUUGAGUGCAAGAAGGAGGAAAGUGAAUUUCAUGUUGAGCGGUUAAAUGGGAGAAAUAGGAGAACAACCAGUGGCGAGGCGACUUUUUUGGUCUGUAACGACAAUUGAGCCCGAAAGCGUGGGGAAGCAACCGGGUUAGGAUCCCUGGGUGUUCCAGCCGGUAACGAAUAAUUCUUAAUGGUAGGAGGGUUUCGCCCCUUAAGUGCGAAAGUUAACGCUUUAACCAUUCCCCCGGGGGAGUACGGCGCCAAGGUUGAAACCAAAGGAAAUUGAGGGGGCCCCCCCCAACCGGGGGACCUUUUGUUUUAAUUGGAGCCAACGGGAAGACCCUAACCAGUUCUGGCCUUCUUUUGCCACCCCAAAAAAUAGGGUUUUCCUUUGGGAAGAAAAUUACCGGUUGGUCCAUGUUGUUGUUCAGCUGGGUUCUUAAGUGGUGGGGUUAAUUCCGCCAACAACCCCACCCCUUAUUUUUGUUGCCAUCCUUUAAUUGGGCCAUUUUAAGGGGACGCCGGUGGCCAACCGGAAGGAAGGGGGGGAGGAGUUAAAUUCUCCUUCCCCUUUUUACCUUGGGCACCCCACUUCUUCCAAUGGCGGGUCAAAAAAGCGCCAAGACCGGGAGGGGAAGUUAUUUUAAAAAACCCUUUUCCAUUUGGGAUGGUGGGUUCCAAUUGCCUUCCUGGAAGCGGGAACCGUUGGUAAUCGGGAAUCACCAGGCCCGGGGAAUAAGUUCCCCGGCCUUGGACCCCCCCCCCCUCCACACCCGAAGAUUUGGUACCCCCGAAGGCGGUGGGGGUACCC
rnacentral:rRNA from 1 species